rnacentral:misc_RNA from 1 species
GAUGAAGAACGUAGCGAAAUGCGAUAAGUAGUGUGAAUUGCAGAAUUCAGUGAAUCAUCGAAUCUUUGAACGCACAUUGCGCCCAUUAGUAUUCUAGUGGGCAUGCCUGUUCGAGCGUCAUUUCAACCCUCAAGCUCUCUUGCUUGGUGUUGGGGCUUCUGCGGCUUCGGCCGCAGGCCCUGAAAAACAGUGGCGGGCUCGCUAUAACUCCGAGCGUAGUAAUCUCUCUCGCUUUGGAAGUGUGGCGGUUCCCGGCCGUUAAACCCCCCAAUUUCUGAAUGUUGACCUCGGAUCAGGUAGGAAUACCCGCUGAACUUAAGCAUAUCAAUAAGCGGAGGA